AAAAAUGCACCCUCAUCUACCCAAUUCUGCCCUACCCUUUGGAGCUCCUGGACCCUCUAACCGCUCGGUGGGGUCAGAGCCCACCCCCGGAAGGGCCGCUGGUCGGGGACUGGUUCGCCCUCUCCUGGCCUCCUCGGACCAGUGCGCGGGGAGGAUCCCGCUAACGCCGGGCGCCUGCAGACCUUGAGCGGCCUCGCCCUGGUGACCUCCCCGGGAAAGGCUGGGCGGUGCUUCCACAAUGAGGGCCACCUGUUAAUUUGCACGAGAAAGUGCUGCCGAGGGCCCACACGUGCGAAUCCACCUGUGGAGUGCGUCCCCUCUCUGGGGCCAAGGCCUAGGGGAGGCCGAAGCGGAGAAGUUGCCUGAAGACUGGGAAGUAAGAGUAGGGGCGUCGGAGGAAUCGAAGUUGCAGUGACAUCAGGCUCGGACAGCCGGCGGACUCCUCGCAAGGCCUCAAACUUCUUCAUGGGAAAAGAUGGCUUCUCUUUUUUAAUUGAAUGAACUAGAAGAAGUUCAUUGUUAUUCAUCAACUUCAAAGAGACUAUAUGAGGCCCCUUGGCCAGGACUACAGAGCAGUAUUUUUUAAUCAGAAAUUAUAGCCAAAAAGAAGAGACCAGAACACAUGGCAGCCUGCAUGGACUAAGACAAGCUCAUUUUCUGGAAAGUCUUGAACUAAGUACUUGAAAAUACAAAGAUAAAUGAAGCACAAGUGCUGACUUCAAGGAAAUGCCAGAAUUGAAAGAAACUACUUUAAAUUUCAUAUGGAACCAAAAAAAGCCCAUAUAGCCAAGAUGAUCCUAAGCAAAAAGAGCAAAGCUGGAGGCAUCAUGCUACCUGGCUUCAAACUAUACUACAAGGCUACAGUAACAAAAACAGCAUGGCACUGGUACUAAAACAGAUAUAUAGACCAAUGGAACAGAACAGAGGCCUCAGAAAUAACGCCACACAUCUACAACCAUCUGAUCUUUGACAAACCUGACAAAAACAAGCAAUGAGGAAAGGAUUCCCUAUUUAAUAAAUGGCGUUGGGAAAACUGGCUAGCCAUAUGCAGAAAACUGAAACUGGACCCCUUCCUGAUACCUUAAACAAAAAUUAAUUCAAGGUAGAUUAAGGACUUAAACAUAAGACCUAAAACCAUAAAAACCCUAGAAGAAAAGCUAGGCAAUACCAUUCAGGACACAGGCAUGGGCAAAGACUUCAUGACUAAAACACCAAAAGCAAUGGCAACAAAAGCCAAAAUAGACAAAUGGGAUCUAAUUAAACUAAAGAGCUUCUGCACAGCAAAAGAAA
rnacentral:lncRNA from 1 species